rnacentral:rRNA from 1 species
GACGAACGCUGGCGGCGUGCUUAACACAUGCAAGUCGAACGGAAAGGCCCUGCUUUUGUGGGGUGCUCGAGUGGCGAACGGGUGAGUAACACGUGAGUAACCUGCCCUUGACUUUGGGAUAACUUCAGGAAACUGGGGCUAAUACCGGAUAGGAGCUCCUGCUGCAUGGUGGGGGUUGGAAAGUUUCGGCGGUUGGGGAUGGACUCGCGGCUUAUCAGCUUGUUGGUGGGGUAGUGGCUUACCAAGGCUUUGACGGGUAGCCGGCCUGAGAGGGUGACCGGCCACAUUGGGACUGAGAUACGGCCCAGACUCGUACGGGAGGCAGCAGUGGGGAAUAUUGCACAAUGGGCGGAAGCCUGAUGCAGCAACGCCGCGUGCGGGAUGACGACCUUCGGGUUGUAAACCGCUUUCGCCUGUGACGAAGCGUGAGUGACGGUAAUGGGUAAAGAAGCACCGGCUAACUACGUG